UCUCAUCUGGACAUGAGAAUCAGAGUUGCCGUAGUUCGGCUAUGGAGGGAACAAAGGUCUCGAUUGCAACGAGGGCAAGAGAAAGGGAAAGUCUCGAUCGCAACGAGGGCGAGAGAAAGGAUCGCAACGAGGGCGAAAACAAGCACGGAUUAGUUGUUAGUCAAACUCGACAAGACAUCACAUCUCGUGCCUACGUAUCUCAUCUGGACAUGAGAAUCAGAGUUGCCGUAGUUC
rnacentral:lncRNA from 1 species